UGUGAGAGAGGGAGAGAGUGUUCCAGGCACUUAGUUGCUGGGAAAUAAAAUAAAAUGGGGGAGUUGCUCUAUGUCAAGGAGAGAAAGAUGGAGCUCAAGGAAGCAUGGGUUUAAAGAAAGGAAAGGGAAAAUUCAAAGGAAAUUCACCACUCAAGAACUCUAGGUCACGCGCCAUUGUCUGCCUGAUUUAUCUGAUAUGUUCAGUCCGUCUAAUUUGCUUCUGCGGCUAUCUGUGAUCAGGCACGUAGCCAGGCUUAGAGGCAUCUGCCUAGAAUCUGUUUUUG